UGAACGCCUCUAAGGUCGUAUCCAAACCGAGCUGAUAGUGUCUCCUAUAGUGGUCGGUGAUCAUAUGGCUAAAACCCGCAAGACUUGCUAGCGUGAUCUCACGCUGGCAUCUUAUUGAUCUGAUCUCGUAGACAGAGCCCUUGCGCGGCGUCGUACAGCAAGUAUCGAGAUACUGGAACGCUGGCGGCGCUGCUCAGCAUCGAUAUAUGAUUUCGAUACCUGAGACCUCCUACAAACGAUAGGUUUACAGGCUGGGAGUUGCGAGUUGCAGAGAGGUGUACAUUUCGAUCCUCUCAGACUACCCUUGCUUGGAGGUU
rnacentral:rRNA from 1 species